rnacentral:misc_RNA from 1 species
AACUUUUGGCAACGGAUCACUUGGCUCUCGCAUCGAAGAAGAACGCAGCGAAAUGCGAUCAGUAAUGUGAAUUGCAGAAUUCAGUGAAUCAUCGAAUCUUUGAACGCAUCUUGCGCUCCUUGGUAUUCCGAGGAGCAUGCCUGUUUGAGUGUCAUUCAACCUCUCAACCACGUCAGAUAUCAUGAUGUCGGCUUGGAUGUGGGGGUUUGUUUUUGCAGGCUUUCUGUAAAAAAGAAGCUCGGCUCCCCUGAAAUGUAUUAGUGGUAUCUGUGGGGCUACUAGGUGUGAUAAAUUAUCUAUGACUUUUGGUAUGCCUGCAUGAAACAGAUUACACCGCUUCGAACCAAAAAACAUUGAACUUGAUGAAUUUGACCUCAAAUCAGGUAGGACUACCCGCUGAACUUAAGCAUAUCAAUAAGCGGAGGCU